ensembl:lncRNA
GCCGAGGUGUGAGGCGGCGGCUGCCGCGCCACGCCGGGACAGAGCAUGACCAGUGCGGCCGCAGCCACUCAGCGCCCGCCCGCCCCUUGCAUCACCAUCAGCCCAUGGCUUGGCGAGACGCAGCCUAACAGGCUCCUCGUUGUUUCUCCUCUUUUCAUGGCCGAGAAGAAAGCCUGGGAAAAGAGCAGGGAUCCCAGGCCUUCCUUGAGAACAGCCGAAUAUUGUCUGCAUGGUAAUGAAGGGAACAAAACGGCAAAGGCGCGGAGCUCUCUCCCCGGCAAGCGGGGCGGCACAAAGGCAGGGUGUGUAAUAGGAAGGACGGGGCGCAGGCAGCGCAGUGUGCCGAGGAAAUAACCUCCAGUAACCCCAGCGGCUCCUGGGAAAACCGAGCACUUCCCUCGCUCUUGUUUUUCAUGGCAAUGUCCUUACAACUGAUUUGGAGAGUCUGUGUCAGUAUGGUAGCACAGGAGCCAGAUCUGUUUCAAAAAAAAUAUUGUAACACAUGGUGUGCAUUUAUGAUUCCUGUUUUCUAUUACACCCACAAAGUCAGGAUGGUUACAUUUGCACAGCUCGUCCUUGUUUUUGCAAGCUCCUGUUAUUUUCUUAAGAUAAAGUGAUUCCUUCUUUGCUUUGUUUUGAAAUUCAAAAGAAGCUUAAUUUUUCUGUUUGCAAUGUGUUUUUCAUUGUUGUUUCUUUCAAAGUGGAAAAAUGGGUUCACAUUAUAUAUACUUUGGACACCAUAAGCACCUGAACCCUUUCCAUCUGUUGGGGACAGGUCCAGCUUCUGUGAAAAUUCUGUUUCUCACAAAAGUCCAUCUCUUGGCAGCCAGGCAUAGGGUCCCUGUGGAGAAAAACAUGGUUGGCAUGGGAGACUGUGAUCAUGGAGAGAAAAACAAGUCUUGUGAGCCAUCAGGGGACUUGUCUCUCUGUACCAUGAGGCAGCAAGCUUGUGCUUCUCUGGAAACCAGAGCAGAGUUUGGCCUUGGGGUGGUGAGCUCUUGGAGGACUUGUGCUGUUGGACUCUUCCACCACACCUCUGCAUGGGCUGUUGUCCAGGACUCUCCAGAAGGAAAUUUAUCGCUACAGACCAGGAUGUCUUUAACAUUAUGAUUUUGAUUUGGAAUGGUGAAUUAAGACUCUGAUGAAUAUGAACCCUUUUGUACAUGAAGGAAAAGAUGCAAGAGCUUUUUUUCUGGUUUGCUCUAUGGGAACAAUUCCAAGCUCUCCUGGUUCAUAUACAGCACUGUGAAAUAAGACAGUUUGAAUUCUGAAGGCAAUUGCUUUCCUUUUACAGUAUUUUUUUUGUGGUAUUCCUCAUUGUCAGGAUUCAUGGACUACAUGAUAAAGAAAAAAGAAAAGCUAAAUAUUACUUUGUAACUUCCAUUUUAAAACCACUUGUACUUUUAUACAAUGCUUCAGAAGGAAGAUUAAUGGAGCUGCCUUCUAACUAAAGUCUGUCAUGUUCGUGGAACUACAAGAAAUGCUGAAAGACAAGUGAUAUUGGGAUACAUUUGCGUAUGCCAUAUGCAUGAUUGGCUUAACUGUUUAACUUAUGAUUUUUUCAAUGUCCUUGCAAAUUCUUUUUUGUUUGACAGAAAAUCAGCCAAUAACUGAGGUCAAAGAAAUCAAUUAUCCACUGUACCACCACAGUACUUUGUGCAUUAAAUUUUUGCUCCAGAC